rnacentral:lncRNA from 1 species
AUUUUGUUUCGCUUUUUGUGCUUCCUUUUAUGUAUCAGAGUGGGACUUCUGUGUUGUAUUGUGGAUCUUUGUGUGUCUGUCUCUGUUGAUUACUUUCAGGUGUGGUGCUGGAAAGGGUGUGGCUCCCAUUGGACCCAAGCUGAUGGAGGGAGCCUUUAAAAGCACUGUAAGGACCUCAAUCCUAUGAGAAGGGUGUUUUGAUGCAACCUGGUGCCUGUCUGUGUUGUACAUUGAAGUUCUUAGUAGUGUUCUGUGUUCAGGCCCAUUCUAUGUGGUCUAGUUUGUGGUGUUAAUUUUAAAGUGAAGCUGUAAGGAUGAACUGCCAUUUUCUCUUAUGUUUCUCCUGUUUCUGUUAGCCCAGGAAGGUUUGUCAUUGUUUUGCCUUUUCUUUUGCAGGCACCACGGAAGAUGAAGUAUGGCACACAUUAUCAACCACCAUAUUUGGCUACUCUCCCAACAUCAUUAUAUGCAACAGCAGUUUUACAACUCAGAUACAGCAGUGUGGUCCGACCUAAUGGGGAACAGCAUUGGAGGCGUUGCACUUGGUUCUUAAUAGUGUGUUGGUCUCACAUGCAGACAUGCAGGUCUUCCCUUUGCCGUGCUCCGGCGGGCUGCAGCUCUCUCAGAUGA